rnacentral:rRNA from 1 species
GAUGAACGCUAGCGAUAGGCUUAACACAUGCAAGUCGAGGGGCAUCGAGGAAUAGCAAUAUUUUGUCGGCGACCGGCGCCCGGGUGAGCAACACGUAUGCAAUCUACCCAUAACUGGGGAAUAACCCGUCGAAAGGCGGACUAAUACCGCAUAACAAGGAUGACCCGCAUGGACUGUUAUUUACAGCUUUAUCGGUUAUGGAUGGUCAUGCGUUCCAUUAGGUAGUUGGCGGGCCAACGGCACACCAAGCCAUCGAUGGAUAGGGGUUCAGAGAGGAAGGUCCCCCACAGUGAUACUGAGACACGGACCGGACUCCUACGGGAGGCAGCAGUGAGGAAAAUUGGUCAAUGGGCGAGAGCCUGAACCAGCCAAAUCGCGUGAAGGAUGAAGGUAUUAUGUAUUGUAAACUUCUUUUAUAGGGGAAUAAAGUGCACCACGUGUGGUGUUUUGUAUGUACCCUAGGAAUAAGGAUCGGCUAACUCCGUGCCAGCCGCCGCCGUAA